GUGUUCACUUUGGCAGCAUAUCUACUAAAACUGGAAAGAUACAGGGAUGAUUAGCAUGGCCCCUGCCCAAGGAUGACAUGCAAAUUCAUGAACUGGCCCAUUAAAAA
rnacentral:snRNA from 1 species